CAUCUAGGCGGUUAAACAAGUUAGCUGUGAAAUCCCUCGGCUUAACCGAGGAAUUGCGGUUGAAACUGUUUUGACUAGAGUACAGCAAAGGUAAGCGGAAUUCUGAGUGUAGCGGUGGAAUGCGUAGAUAUUCAGAAGAACACCAGUGGCGAAGGCGGCUUACUCGGCUGAAACUGACGCUGAAGUGCGAAAGCUAGGGUAGCGAACG
rnacentral:rRNA from 1 species